GAGGAAAAAUGUAAACCAAGUGAAUCUAUGUUUCCAAAAAUGAAAACCUCUUCUAUAGCAACACUCCUCUUCCUAGCUAUCUUCCAAUUUUCAUUUGGGUUGAAAUCAGGAGAGUGCCAGUUAUGUUCAUUUGGAACAGUGGAAAUGGAGAGAUGCUCAAUCCCUCAAUGCUCUUCAGACUGCAGGAACAAAGUUUCACAUUCAACUGGCAGAUGCAUUGCUAUUGACACUUGUUGCUGUGUUGCAAGAGCUCAUUUCCAUAAUUAAUUACUUUUCUUUAAUUAUGUUAAUGUUUUCACUUCCGUAUUUACCAAUUGUCAUGCUUUUUUUUUUUUUUUUUUUUGAAUCGGGAGGCUUAUGCUUUGAGCAGCAAGUGAGUGAAUAACGAUGUACUUUAAAGAGGCUUUUUUUGUUUUGCUUUUGGGCUACUUAAGAUUUGUAAAGUAAUACCCCAAAAAGUAUUGUAAGCUUUUGAUACACCACCUAUUAAGGAGAAUAAAUUUUUAUCUUUUGCAUGCAAAA